ACAGGACACCCGGACCCGACCCGACCAGAAGGACGGAUGACCAGGGACCAACGGGAGAGAGGUGGCGUGUUUUCAGUCCGCUGACGAACUCACCAUCCGAUCCAGACGCUCCUGCCUCCAACACCACCCUCUCCAGCCUCUGACAGCACCAGCCAGCGAAGAGGAAGACGUUUCCAGCAGCGCUUCACUGUAUAUGAAUGUAUAAUGUUUAUUGUAAAUAGUCAGAUUUAACUUGUUUCAUUUAAAAUGUAAAAAAACAUUUUCAUGAUUGUAUUAGCAUAGUUGGUUGGUUGUUAGUUUUGAUGUUUAAUAAAUGUGCAAAAAUUCA